CCGAAUUAAGUUUAAUGUUUUACGUUUAUAUAUUCCUAUAAGAAAAUAAAUAUUAAAUGCAUCAAAAGUAGGGAACCAACAGUAGAAUAAUCUCACAAGCUCGCAUGCAAUAAAUGAACCCAAGUCACUUCCUGCAAGAAAGUUCACCGCCAGAAUUUAUCGUUCACUCACUUGGUGCGCUGAGUUAUGAUCUCGCGAAACAUGCGCUUGGAACCGUUGGGAUUGAGUAAGAUCUCCCAGCAGGACCACUUGUCGUUAGAUUAUUAAUAAAAUAAAUCGGAGUAGGAAUUGAACUGAGUUAGCUAGAUGCCAAAUGUUGGAGAGGGAAAAGGACAAAACCACUGAUCAACUCAAAGGGUAAUCGAGAACCGAUUACUGAAUAGAUCGUCUCUCGAUUUCCGGUACGAAUGCCUAAUCUAAGAUUGCGACCUAUCUGAGGAAUCUCAAGUUCGGUCUCGUCCACUUUGAUCUGACCCGUGGAAGAGGCAGGAGUGUGAAGUUUCUUCUAUUAGUUUCGCGGUGUGUUUCCGAGGCAGUGCAAAAGCUAGGGCAAUAAAAAAAAGCCAUCUGUGCGGUAUUGUGCGUGAUAUGAAAUAGAAAAAAAGCCGAUCGUCGGCUUUUUAUUCGACAGUUUUGUUGCUGCACCAGCCCGCCUCCCGCUCGCCACACCGCGCCCAUUACGCCUUUGCCACACUUCUGACCCCACGUGCCAGCUUCAAAGGAUCCCUAACUGCCGGCCGGAGUUAGAAGGGAGUUGCGCCGUUCUAUCGCACUCCGGAAGAGCGAGUUUCCCGCCCUCAAGGAAAAUUCAUCGUACCGACGACGGUAUCUUUUUGAUUUGGACCAUCGAGCCAUUCAUUCGGUGCACCUUUGUUCAUUGGGUGAACAGGCGUCGCAGACGCGACGCGAAAGAAGGGUAAAGCCGAUCAAGUAGAAGUCGGUAGCAAGGCACA